AGUGGCUGCAAGGAAGAAAGAGGCCUGUUACCUGGGGGGCCUGGCUGUCUGCCCCCACCAUCACCCCACCCCAGUCUCCGGUCCCUCCUCCUCCAAUCUGUUACCUUCCCCUCCUUAGAGGUGCCUGCCACCUGUCCAGUGGCAAUGGUGACCAUAUCAGGGUGGACAGCCAGGCUGAGAAAGGAGACAGAUGGACAGGGCUCAGUGGGAGGGAUGGGGCUCAAAGGGGGGCCCAGGACUCCUCCUCCCUUAACAGGCUGAAGUCACAAUGCCUGGCUAUUCAUCCCACAGGUUGGUUGAGUGAGUUAUUUAGCCAAUAAACAUCGAUUUAGUCCUUCUGUAACAAUAAGGGGCUACUCUCCAGGUACCCAGCCUCGGAAGCAAGACUCCAUCCUGGGGUCUCUUAACUCAAAUGCCCAUACGGCUCAGGACUGUACCCAAGUGGUGGCCAGGGGGGCACAGCCAUCAAAAGGGGCUGUCGCUGCCUGGCUCCCACCCUGUUAGGAUCAUCUGGUGCUCCAGCUAGGAGUUUCCGAAAAGAAGUGAAAAAUCCAGGCAUAUGUUUCCGGCUCUCUCGAAAAGACUCUGGGCUCCAACAUCCCUGCCUCCACUAGAGCGGAAAUCAAGGCCGAAAGAAGAGGACGGGGCCUGGGUCCCUAGGCUGCUGAUCUGGAGAAAGCGUGGGCCACGGAGGCAAGAGUUCUUGCCCCAGAACUGGUCUGACUCCCGAGGACAAGGCUCAGUCCUUUCUUUUGGACUCAGCUUUGUCAUCCAGACAGUGAAGGCAGCAAUUGCCAAGCUGUAGGCGUCAGAGGGCUCUAGGAGGCCACGGGUUGUACAAAUACACUCUCAAUGCUACAAAAGAGGAGGAUUGUUACCAUUCACCGUAUUUACACAUAAAACCAUUUAGAAUGGUGCCUGGCAUCUAAGUCCUCAAUAAUGAGCAGUUAUUCUUCGACCAGUUCCUGUUUAUGGGGCACACGUCAUGAGCUCAGCACCUUUAUACCUCCUUUCCUGGCACUAUGAAUCUGAAAUCCUGAAACCCAUUCUUCAGAGGACGCGUCUGAGGCACAGAGAGGUGAGGUGAUUUGUCCAGGAUCACACAGCCCAGCUGGGCUGGGGUUUCAAUCCAGGUUUGCCAGGCUCCAAAGACGGGGCCCCUAACCAUUUCCAACUUCUUCUGUUUCUCAGAUACACCUAGGUCGCUCCGGCCACAGAGCCCUUAUACCUGCCAUGCCCUCUGUCUGGAACAUUCUCCUUCUAGCUCUUCCUAUGCUGGCUCCCAACUGUUCAACUCACAGCUCAAAUGCCCCCUCCUCAGAGAAACACAGUGACUCUUCCCACAUGACUUUAGGUUCCUGUGUUCCCAGCAUUUAUUACUUAGCUGGAAUCACCGUGUUUAUUUAAUCACAGGCUUCUGUUAUCAUCUCUCUCUCUUUUCCUUUAAAAGGUGAGCCCCAAGUGACCAGGGCGGGACUGUAGAGGAGAGUCUGACAUAUGGAAGGCACUCAGCAAACAUCUGCUACUUUAGUGCAUCGUAAAAAGGCUUCACUCAACAACAACAACACCAAAAAUGCAUGGAGGGGCACCAGGGUGGCUCAGUCCGUU